rnacentral:rRNA from 1 species
UACUCCUACGGGAGGCAGCAGUGGGGAAUAUUGCGCAAUGGAGAAGAACUCUGACGCAGCAAUACCGCGUGAGCGAAGAAGGUCUUCGGAUCGUAAAGCUCUGUUAUCAGGGAAGAAGAAAAUGACGGUACCUGAUGAGCAAGUCCCGGCUAACUACGUGCCAGCAGCCGCGGUAAUA